ensembl:lncRNA
GCUGACUGACACUAAACCUAGCACAGUCUCCCACCCCCCUGGUCGAGUACGCUGAGCUUCGCCUGCUCAGUCACUGAGUGGCCUUGAGCUCAUUGUUGACGCCAGGGGCACCUGUUUGAUGUUGCACUCUCCACGCCAUACCAGUGCUCUGGAGCCCCGUUUCAAGGAGCCAGACUGGAACCAGCCCUUCUCUGUCCACAAGCGUCUCCUCGGAUCCCAGGGUCCGUACUGCUGUGACGUCAUCUGGAGUAACUUGCUCCUGAUCCUGCCAUCACGAGAGCUUCACCAGGAAGGAGCCCACCAGAGGUGGGGUCAGCGUGACGGGCCCACUGUCCUGGAGGGGCUCUGGAAGCCCCAGUGGACCCUGACCACUAGCACUCAUUUCCUCUGACACACACUGAACCUACGCUGUUUACAGCAGCGCUCAGGCUGCUGAAGGUGGUCAGUUAGGACAAGCCUGACUCAAAAUCACGGCUCCACACUGUAGCCUACACCGAUCUUCACAUUGAAUCCCUUGUGUCGGGGGUGGCGGGAGCCCCUUCCCCAAUCUUUCUCACUCCUGUCUCUUAAAGAGAAGCGAACCAUUAGUGCCUGGCCCGGGUACUGCCUCCGGGAGGAGAAACGACAUGUUAAGCAGUUGAUAUCAAGAACUCUUAAGUAAGGCGGCGAUUGUCUCUGCCAGUUUUCAACAUUAAGAUUUUCACAAAUUGCCUGGGGUAACAUUUUGCAAAAGAUCUACUGAUUCGUAGUAUCGUUCACAC